AGACUGCUGCAGGAAAGAGAGCUUGUUGAGCCUCUUACACCCAGUGGAGAAGCUCCCAACCAAGCUCUCUUGAGGAUCUUAAAGGAAACAGAAUUCAAAAAGAUCAAGGUGCUGGGCUCUGGAGCAUUUGGCACAGUGUACAAGGGACUCUGGAUCCCGGAAGGCGAGAAGGUUAAAAUUCCCGUGGCCAUCAAGGAAUUAAGAGAAGCCACAUCUCCAAAGCCAACAAGGAAAUUCUUGAUG